GAUAUAGCUCAAUUGCUAGAGCAUGAGAUUCUUAGUCUCAAGGUCAUGGGUUCGAGCCCCAUGUUAGGCA